rnacentral:rRNA from 1 species
UACAGAGGCCUCAAGCGUUGUUCGGAAUUACUGGGCGUAAAGAGAAUGUAGGUGGUGAUGCAAGUCAGAUGUGAAAGCCCUGGGCUUAACCCGGGAACUGCAUUUGAAACUGCAUCGCUGGAGUGCGGAAGAGGAGAGAGGAAUUCCUGGUGUAGGGGUGAAAUCCGUAGAUAUCAGGAGGAAUACCGACGGCGAAGGCAUCUCUCUGGUCCGUUACUGACACUGAGAUUCGAAAGCAUGGGUAGCAAACAGG